AUAACAUAUGCGAUGGCAUCUUCUGCAUAUCAAAGAUUUAUCGCUUAGAGAUGGGCUCGCGUCUGAUUAGAUAGGUUGGUGGGUAACGGCCCACCAAGCCUUCGAUGGAUAGGGGUUCUGAGAGGAAGGUCCCCCCACACUGGAACUGAGACACGGUCCAGACUCCUACGGGAGGCAGCAGUGAGGAAUAUUGGUCAAUGGGCGAGAGCCUGAACCAGCCAAGUAGCGUGAAGGAAGACUGCCCUAUGGGUUGUAAACUUCUUUUGUUCGGGAAUAAAGUUCAGUAUGUAUACUGUUUUGUAUGUACCGUUCGAAUAAGCAUCGGCUAAUUCCGUG
rnacentral:rRNA from 1 species